GCUGCAGACGAAGCCGGUGAUCACCUGCCUGAAAAGCGUGCUCCUCACCUACACCUUCGUCUUCUGGGUAUCUGGCAUCGUGCUUCUGGCCGUGGGCGUGUGGGGCAGGGUGAGCCUGGCCGUCUACUUCUCGCUGCUGGACGAGAAAGCCACCAAUGUGCCCUUCGUCCUGAUGGGCGCCGGCGUCGUCGUGGUGCUGCUGGGCACCUUCGGCUGCUUCGCCACCUGCCGCGGCAGCACGUGGAUGCUGAAGCUGUACGCUAUGCUGCUGUCCCUCAUCUUCCUCAUCGUGCUGGUGGCUGCUGUCGUUGGGUUUGUUUUCAGGCAUGAGAUAAAGACAAACUUUGAGAGCAACCUCAAUCUGGCCUUGAAGAACUACAAUGGGACGGUGGAUCAUCACAGCGAGGCGGUUGACACCAUCCAGAGAACUCUGCACUGCUGUGGGGUACAGAACUACUCAGACUGGGAGAAGACCGAAUACUUCACCCAGAAGGGAAUCCCUCAGAGCUGCUGCAAGAGCCAGGAUGGCUGUUCGGUGGAGGAUCUGAGGGACCUAAGCAAAGCCAAGCAGAAAGUGUUUGUGGAUGGUUGCUUUUUCCUGGUAACAUCAACAAUGGAGUCAAAAAUGAGUGUUGUGGCUGGCAUCUCCUUUGGCAUCGCAUGCUUCCAGUUGGUUGGCAUCAUCCUCGCCUGCUGUCUGUCCCAGUACAUCACGAACAACCAGUAUGAGAUGGUGUAGCCCCCUCAGUGCACAGUGGGUUUGACUAAGAAGCAAUCCUCUGCAAUAAGAUCAUUUCACGAAGCGAUCACAACUCCUUAUUUCUCUAUCGCAGCCUGGAGCAAUGGGAGCACUGGGUGCCCCGCAGAUUCGGGUGCUGCUUUGCCCACGUACCUCCAGCUCAGGGAUCUUGGCCUCCGUAGUCUCAGGCUGGACUGAAGCCCUGACUAAGGGACUUUGCCAUCCCCCGUCCCCAGCUCGCUGGCUCCAUCUCUGUGCCUUCUGCUUUCCCUGAGAAGUGCCUCUUCCUGCCUUGAGGAGGUUUGGGAUCGCCUGCAGAUCAAAGCCCUCCUUGAGGGCUGCUGAAGAGCUGCUGAGGAGCUGCGGGGUGUCACAGCCUGCUCCCUGGUGUGUUCAUCCCCGCAGGGAGCCGGGGAGCAGCCCUCUCUUCCCUGCACAGCGAGCCUGGCAGCCCUCCCGGCUCUGCGGACGCCAGGCCCUUAAAGGAUGAGUAGUGGCAGAUGCUGUUUGAAGCGCAGAAGUGAUCCUGCUGGCACAGUGAGAGCUGUGCAGAGUCUCUUUUCCCCAAUCAAAUAGCAACGAGCAGAAGCAAAGGGCUUGUGCAAAAUCUUUCUCAGGGUUUUCCAGGUCAGCAUCCCCCAUUUUGCAACUUCAGGAGGAUGUUGUGGUGCUGGAGCUGGCUGAGCAGUGCAGUAACUACCGGAUACCUUUGCCCCUGGUAAAAAUGUGAAGAAUGAUGUGCUCCUUGGCAGUCGCUGGCGUCUCCUGUUAGUCAGCAGGAGGCUUUUAUAAAGAUAUAUAUAUAUGUCAAUAGACUUUAUGAUAUGGAAAAAGUAGUGCAGAGCCUAAGGUGGCUGGAAGGCUGCCUGCUCUGACUGACAGCGUGUGCACGGGGCCGUAAAUCAGCUAUAGGAGGGUACGAUCCUCAGUGGUACCUUACUUUCAAGUUCCUCUCCAUUUACAAAGACUUAUUCAUGCCAGCACUGUGGCCAAAUAACCCAUUUGGGCUUGGCUUGUCCUGUGCUGCUCAGAGAGAUGUUUUAUAGGGCUAAAAAUAAUUCUUGCUUGCCAGCCCUUGAAAAACAUCCCCUUGCAUGUCCGUGGUGAGCCCCUUGCUGAUGGCUCCUGCUUGUGCUGGCGGUGCUGGGCGAUGCUGCCAUGCUGCGGGCACCAGGGCUGGUGCAGAAGGGCUUUCAGUGCUGACAUUCUCCAGGUUCUCCUACACUGCUGGUGGGGCUGCAAGAGCCCAGGGAUGGUGUUUUGGUGCUGGAAGCAGGACUUUCCCCAACAUCUCCUUCCUUGCCAAGAUAGCAUCGGCGAAGCAAAAGUGUCAUUUUUCUUGGUCAUUUUUAAGUCAUUUGCAUUGACAUAAACGACUUAAAAUGACUUUAAAAGGGUGAAUACCCACGUGUGAGCUCUGGGUGGUCUCUCCCCUUGGUCACUUGCUACCAGCAGCCCCAUCUCCACUUGUUUUAUCCACGCUGCCUUUGGCCAACGCUGGGAUUUUCCUGUACCUGACCUCUUGCCGUUCCCUUGAUGUCCGAACUGAGUCAGAGCCCAUCCCAGGGUCAGCACCACCCCGCUGGCUCACACCGUGCUUCUCGAGGAACAGUGGAGACUUUAUAAACGUCUUGGCAAGAGCCCGACUGCACAUAUGGCUUUUAUUGCUUCUAUUUGCGGUAUUUAUUUCUAUGUGCUGAUAAGAAGACAAAGCUUCUGGCGCCUGAGGGUCCGCGGGUUGGUGAGGAACGAGGGGAGCUCACUGUAGGAAAGGGGAUGUGCAUGGGAAUUUUGGGGCUGUCAGGAGUAGGGAAUCAAACCCCAGCACGGUGCACGCAGGGCCUCCCAGCUGAGUACUGCACACAGAGGGAGCAGGGAAUGGAGGAUCUCAAUCCAGUUAGCAGGAGCUCCCUCUCCAAAAGCUAAUCCGUCUCACCAUCCCCUCACAUUGCAGACACAUUAAAGUAAGAAAUACAAUCCAUGACAAUCAAUCAGCACUGCGUCCUGGCUUUCUCUCCUCUUUAUGCGGUGGCAUAAUGACUUUUCCACCGGUUUCUGGCAAGAUAAUUGAAAUGAAAUGGAAAAUAUUUUCUUACUUGUCAUGAAAUUUGCUGCCCGUGAAAGAGAGUAACUUUAACUCUUCGUGGUGCAGCUCCGUACCCUUUAAUUGUCAGUUAGGAGAGGAAUGUGGUGACAGAGAAAAAAGCCAGCCUGUAUGAAGUAAAAGCUAGU